UACGUAGGGUGCAAGCGUUGUCCGGAAUUAUUGGGCGUAAAGAGCUCGUAGGCGGUCUGUCACGUCGGCUGUGAAAACCCGAGGCUCAACCUCGGGCCUGCAGUCGAUACGGGUAAACUAGAGUACUGCAGGGGAGACUGGAGUUCCUGGUGUAGCGGUGAAAUGCGCAGAUAUCAGGAGGAACACCGGUGGCGAAGGCGGGUCUCUGGGCAGUAACUGACGCUGAGGAGCGAAAGCGUGGGGAGCGAACAGG
rnacentral:rRNA from 1 species